UGCUCGUUCUGGCUUCGAUUUGUUAUUAAUUACUGGUGCCAAUCAACUGGCAAAACUUCUGGCUACCUAGAGUUAUCAUUUCUAAUAGCAACAAAUACAAUAAGAAAAUAAUUUUUUCAGUCAAAUACACAUGGUUCUCACCAUGGAAAUCAUAAAAGUAGCCUUUACGGACAUCUUUGAGUCUUCAAUCAUCGAAGGAAACGAUUCCUAGCCUUGUCGUGGUAGAUUUCCCGUAUGAAUCAAAUGAUCCAUACAUGCAUUUUCUUCCUGUUUUCCAUUUUCUUGCUCUUCUUGUUCAUUUUCGCCCCUUGAUCUGACGUUACUUUAGUCAUGAGGCUUCUCUGCCUUGGACGAAAAAAAAAAAGGCCCCGACCCGGCAGACCCGCCAUUUUGAAAAUUGGCCUCAGCGGUCUUCAAAUAUUCGUAUAUGUAUUACGUAAUACGUCAUAAAUUGUCGUAAGUCUUUAAAGCCUGACAUCAGUGUCCAUAUCUCCUAUUUUCUAAGGUACUAGGAAGGAGAAUUUGUUAAAUAAUCCAGACCUUCUGUAGUUGUUGAUCAUAAUAUAUUUUUCUUGUGACCCUAACAUUCCAUGGGUGAUAAUGCGAGGAAAACUUAGAUGUAGAUGUUCGUCUGCACACUGAUUGAAGUGAGAGGGAGGCGAAGCGGGGCUUUUUCAAUGCAGCUUAAAUUAAUCUGUACACCCUAACAUCAGUACAGUCACCUCAAUGUGUGAUUCAUGAAUGACACUAUAAAGAGAAAUGAGUUUCUCUUCACUCUUUGGGUAAAAACACUAGACAAUGAAAUAAAAGUGGAAUAAGAACUCCCUUUUUCAACUUACAAAAUAUGCAUGUGCACACAUAUUAUAAUUAUGUUGAUGUUUUAAACUCCCAUGAGU